rnacentral:rRNA from 1 species
AUUGAACGCCGGCGGCAGGCUUAACACAUGCAAGUCGAGCGGUAACAGGAGAAGCUUGCUUCUCGCUGACGAGCGGCGGACGGGUGAGUAAUACUUAGGAAUCUGCCCAGUAGUGGGGGAUAGCUCGGGGAAACUCGAAUUAAUACCGCAUACACCCUACGGGGAAAAGGGGGCACUUGUGCUCUCGCUAUUGGAUGAGCCUAAGUCGGAUUAGCUAGUUGGUGGGGUAAAGGCCUACCAAGGCGACGAUCUGUAGCUGGUCUGAGAGGAUGAUCAGCCACACCGGGACUGAGACACGGCCCGGACUCCUACGGGAGGCAGCAGUGGGGAAUAUUGGACAAUGGGGGCAACCCUGAUCCAGCCAUGCCGCGUGUGUGAAGAAGGCCUUUUGGUUGUAAAGCACUUUAAGCAGUGAAGAAGACUCUAUGGUUAAUACCCAUAGACGAUGACAUUAGCUGCAGAAUAAGCACCGGCUAACUCUGUGCCAGCAGCCGCGGUAAUACAGAGGGUGCAAGCGUUAAUCGGAAUUACUGGGCGUAAAGCGAGCGUAGGUGGCUUGAUAAGUCAGAUGUGAAAUCCCCGGGCUUAACCUGGGAACUGCAUUUGAUACUGUUAGGCUAGAGUAGGUGAGAGGGAGGUAGAAUUUCAGGUGUAGCGGUGAAAUGCGUAGAGAUCUGAAGGAAUACCGAUGGCGAAGGCAGCCUCCUGGCAUCAUACUGACACUGAGGUUCGAAAGCGUGGGUAGCAAACAGGAUUAGAUACCCUGGUAGUCCACGCCGUAAACGAUGUCUACUAGUCGUUGGGGAACUUGAUUCCUUAGUGACGCAGCUAACGCAAUAAGUAGACCGCCUGGGGAGUACGGCCGCAAGGUUAAAACUCAAAUGAAUUGACGGGGGCCCGCACAAGCGGUGGAGCAUGUGGUUUAAUUCGAUGCAACGCGAAGAACCUUACCUGGUCUUGACAUAUCUAGAAUCCUGCAGAGAUGCGGGAGUGCCUUCGGGAAUUAGAAUACGGGUGCUGCAUGGCUGUCGUCAGCUCGUGUCGUGAGAUGUUGGGUUAAGUCCCGCAACGAGCGCAACCCUUUUCCUUAGUUACCAGCGGUUUGGCCGGGGACUCUAAGGAUACUGCCAGUGACAAACUGGAGGAAGGCGGGGACGACGUCAAGUCAUCAUGGCCCUUACGACCAGGGCUACACACGUGCUACAAUGGUAGGUACAGAGGGCAGCUACACAGCGACGUGAUGCGAAUCUCAAAAAGCCUAUCGUAGUCCAGAUUGGAGUCUGCAACUCGACUCCAUGAAGUCGGAAUCGCUAGUAAUCGCGGAUCAGAAUGCCGCGGUGAAUACGUUCCCGGGCCU